UACGUAGGGCGCGAGCGUUGUCCGGAAUCAUUGGGCGUAAAGAGCUCGUAGGCGGCCGGUUGCGUCUGCUGUGAAAUCCCGGGGCUUAACCCCGGGCGUGCAGUGGAUACGGGCUGGCUGGAGGCAGGCAGGGGAGAAUGGAAUUCCCGGUGUAGCGGUGAAAUGCGCAGAUAUCGGGAGGAACACCGGUGGCGAAGGCGGGUCUCUGGGCCGUAACUGACGCUGAGGAGCGAAAGCGUGGGGAGCGAACAGG
rnacentral:rRNA from 1 species